GAUGAACGCUAGCUACAGGCUUAACACAUGCAAGUCGAGGGACCGGCGCACGGGUGAGUAACACGUAUCCAACCUGCCCUUUACUCGGGGAUAGCCUUUCGACAGAAAGAUUAAUACCCGAUAUAAAGGAUGGGGAUGCGUUCCAUUAGGUUGUUGGGGAGGUAACGGCUCACCAAGCCUUCGAUGGAUAGGGGUUCUGAGAGGAAGGGCCCCCACAUUGGAACGGGGACACGGUCCAAACUCCGACGGGAGGCAGCAGUGAGGAAUAUUGGUCAAUGGGGGCUAGCCUGAAACAGCCAAGUAGCGUGAAUGAUGAAGGCUUAUGGGACGUAAACUUCUUUUAUAUAAGAAUAUGUAUUAUAGGAAUAAGGAUCGGCUAACUCCGUGCCAGCAGCCGCGGUAAUUC
rnacentral:rRNA from 1 species